rnacentral:rRNA from 1 species
UACGGAGGAUCCGAGCGUUAUCCGGAUUUAUUGGGUUUAAAGGGUGCGCAGGCGGGAUGUUAAGUCGGCGGUGAAAUUUUGCAGCUCAACUGUAAAAGUGCCCUCGAUACUGGCCUCCUUGAGUGUGGAUGAAGUAGGCGGAAUUUGUGGUGUAGUGGUGAAAUGCUUAGAUAUCACGAGGAACUCCGAUUGCGCAGGCAGCUUACUAAACCACAACUGACGCUCAUGCACGAAGGCGUGGGGAUCAAACAGGAUUAGAUCCCUGGUAGUCACGCAGUAAACGAUGAUUACUAGUUGUUUGCGAUACAAUGGAAGCGACUGAGCGAAAGCGUUAAGUAAUCCACCUGGGGAGUACGUUCGCAAGAAUGAA